CAGCAGCCGCGGGAAUACGGAGGGUGCAAGCGUUAUCCGGAUUUAUUGGGUUUAAAGGGUCCGUAGGCGGACUUAUAAGUCAGUGGUGAAAGCCUGUCGCUUAACGAUAGAACUGCCAUUGAUACUGUAAGUCUUGAGUAUAUUUGAGGUAGCUGGAAUAAGUAGUGUAGCGGUGAAAUGCAUAGAUAUUACUUAGAACACCAAUUGCGAAGGCAGGUUACCAAGAUAUAACUGACGCUGAGGGACGAAAGCGUGGGUAGCGAACAGGAUUAGAUACCCCCGUAGUCCCUGUCUCUUAUAC
rnacentral:rRNA from 1 species